rnacentral:rRNA from 1 species
UACGUAGGGUGCAGGCGUUAAUCGGAAUUACUGGGCGUAAAGCGUGCGCAGGCGGCUUCUUAAGUCAGAUGUGAAAGCCCCGGGCUUAACCUGGGAACUGCGUUUGAAACUGGGAGACUUGAGUGUGGCAGAGGGGGGUGGAAUUCCACGUGUAGCAGUGAAAUGCGUAGAUAUGUGGAGGAACACCGAUGGCGAAGGCAGCCACCUGGGUUAACACUGACGCUCAUGCACGAAAGCGUGGGGAGCAAACAGG